rnacentral:misc_RNA from 1 species
GCAUCCAUGGCUGAAAUGGCAAAAACAAAGGAAAAUUGACUGGACAGAACAUAAAAUAACCAGCACUCAACUGGUUGGCCACGUUGAGAACGGAGACGUGUUUCCCAAACAGAAACAGAACCAUCAAUUUGCAAGAAAGAAAGUGUAACAGAAUCAUAUAAGAACAAACACUUUCAAUACAGUCCGAGCAACUUUUAUGAAUCUUUCUUGUAUAUGAAACUAAACCCGAUUCUAAUAAUUUACAGCUCCGGCAAGCAACAGGCAGCUUGAAAUUAACAAAUUGGAUUUGGAAACUUUCAUCCUGGUUCGCAGCUUUCAUAUCUAAUCAGAGUGGCUCAAAGCAAAUUAUUUCAAUCUCAAUAAUAAGAUAUUAAAUUCUACUCUCCAUUAAGAUCGCAUUAGAAAUUCUUUUCCAAUAUUCAUAACGAAAUCCAAUAAACGAAACAAAAGCAAGUCAACGAUGAAUAACUGGCGAAGAAAAGAUAUUAAAAUAGAGAGUUACCCAUCAAUUAUCUUCUUAGCAGGA